UGCUGGACUGUAACUGACGUUGAUGCUCGAAAGUGUGGGUAUCAAACAGGAUUAGAUACCCUGGUAGUCCACACAGUAAACGAUGAAUACUCGCUGUUUGCGAUAUACAGUAAGCGGCCAAGCGAAAGCGUUAAGUAUUCCACCUGGGGAGUACGCCGGCAACGGUGAAACUCAAAGGAAUUGACGGGGGCCCGCACAAGCGGAGGAACAUGUGGUUUAAUUCGAUGAUACGCGAGGAACCUUACCCGGGCUUGAAUUGCAACUGAAUGAUGUGGAGACAUGUCAGCCGCAAGGCAGUUGUGAAGGUGCUGCAUGGUUGUCGUCAGCUCGUGCCGUGAGGUGUCGGCUUAAGUGCCAUAACGAGCGCAACCCUUAUCGAUAGUUACCAUCAGGUGAUGCUGGGGACUCUGUCGAGACUGCCGUCGUAAGAUGUGAGGAAGGUGGGGAUGACGUCAAAUCAGCACGGCCCUUACGUCCGGGGCUACACACGUGUUACAAUGGGGGGUACAGAAGGCAGCUACACGGCGACGUGAUGCUAAUCCCGAAAGCCUCUCUCAGUUCGGAUUGGAGUCUGCAACCCGACUCCAUGAAGCUGGAUUCGCUAGUAAUCGCGCAUCAGCCACGGCGCGGUGAAUACGUUCCCGGGCCUUGUACACACCGCCCGUCAAGCCAUGAAAGCCGGGGGUACCUGAAGUGCGUAACCGCAAGGAGCGCCCUAGGGUAAAACUGGUGAU
rnacentral:rRNA from 1 species